CAAGAGUUUGGUCCUGGUUCUUCUGUCAGUUGUGGUUUAUUUUACACAUGCAAGUUUCCGCCCCCCGGUGAGUAUACCCUAAAACACCCUUAUGGAAUUUAGGAGUGAGCAUCAGGCACUACAGGUUUUGCCCAUGACGCUUCGCAGUGUGUCACACCUUCAAAGGUAGCAGCAGUGAUUAACAUUAAGCAAUGAGUGUAAGCUUGACUUAGUUAAAACUAAAAGGGCCGGCCCAAUCCGUGCCAGCCGCCGCGGUUACACGGGUGGCCCAAGUUGACAGGUUGCGGUGUAAAGGGUGGUUAAGAUUUAGAUAAAGUAAAGUUGAAGGCAUUUAGGGCUGUUAUAGGCAUAUAAGUGGAGGAAUUUCUUAUACGAAGGUGGCUUUACAAUUUCUGACCCCACGAAAACCAGGACCCAAACUGGGAUUAGAUACCCCAUUAUGCCUGGAGUUAAACAAAGGUGAUAUAUAAUAAGUCACCCACCCGGGGACAACGAGCAAUAGCUUAAAACCCAAAGGACUUGGCGGUGCUUUACCCCUCCUAGAGGAGCCUGUUCUGUAAUCGAUUUUCCUCGUUCAACCUAACCCUUUUUAGCUUUUACAGUCUGUAUACCUCCGUCGCCAGCUUACUCUGUAAGGAUUAAAAAGUUAGCAAUUCCGGCAUAGCCUGAAACGACAGGUCAAGGUGCAGUCAAUGAAGGGGGAUGUAAUGGGCUACAUUUACUGAUUAGUAAAUACGGACAAUGCGUUGAAAUAUGUAUUUGAAGGUGGAUUUAGUAGUAAGCAUGAAGUAGAGAGUUAUGCUGAAUGUGGCUCAGAAGCACGCACAUACCGCCCGUCGCCCUCCCUCAAGCUCGUUUUACAAGUUUCAUAAACACAUAAAUUGCUUUAAGGGGAGGUAAGUCGUAACAAGGUAAGUGUACUGGAAAGUGUGCUUGGAAAAU
rnacentral:ncRNA from 1 species